rnacentral:rRNA from 1 species
UACGGGGGGGGCAAGCGUUGUUCGGAAUUACUGGGCGUAAAGGGCUCGUAGGCGGCCAACUAAGUCAGACGUGAAAUCCCUCGGCUUAACCGGGGAACUGCGUCCGAUACUGGCGGGCUUGAAUCCGGGAGAGGGAUGCGGAAUUCCAGGUGUAGCGGUGAAAUGCGUAGAUAUCUGGAGGAACACCGGUGGCGAAGGCGGCAUCCUGGACCGGCAUUGACGCUGAGGCGCGAAAGCUAGGGGAGCAAACGGG